CUAUUAAAUAGCUGCCGUAUUCAUAACUGUACCAAGGUAGCAUAAUAAUUAGUUUAUUAAUUAUAAACUUGUAUGAACGAUUUAAUGAAAUAAAUACUAUUUCAAAUUAAAAUAAUAAAUUUAUUUUUUAAGUAAAAAAACUUAAAUAAAUUUAAAAGACGGGAAGACCCUUUAGAAUUUUAUAAUUUAAAUCAUUUAUUAAUUUAAAUAAAUAAUGUAAAUUAUUUAAUUGGGGAGAUUAUAAAAUUUAAUAAACUUUUAUUUAAAAAACCAAAAAUUAUUGAAUAAAAUAUAUUUUUUUAAAAAAAUUAAAAUAAAUUACCUAAGGGAUAACCGCAUAAUUUUUUU
rnacentral:rRNA from 1 species